AUGAUGAGUAGCAGCAAGAGAAAGAGUGUCAUGCCAUCCUGUGGCGAGGCUGCCAAGAUUACGGCAGAGGCGUUCCCAAGCAACAAGAGGAAGAAGGCCGUUAUAGCUCUUUGUGCACAGUUGCUUCCUGAUGACAUGAUGUUGGAGGUGCUGCUUCGGCUCCCUGUCAAAUCCAUUCUCCGCUUCCAGGCCGUCUGCCGCUCUUGGGCUGCAGUCUUCUCCUCCAAGGAUUUCUGCAGCCUCCAUAUGGCAACAUCCAAGGUGCCACCACAAGCACCAAAGCUACUAGUUGUCUCCCCCACAGCAGAAUUGGACUCCACCUCAGUAUGCUCAUACUCACCGUCAAGCUCAAGCCCAAGCUCGAGAGAUGCUUUGCUCUUCACCGUUGACUCUGCCCGCCGCAACUCCGUGGAAGUAGUGAUGCCCUCACCUUGCUGUGGACUCACCCUUCUAUUUGAUGCUGUUGCGCCAGCUUACUAUGUUUGCAAUGCAUCCACAAGGGAAGUCACACGUUUGCCACCUCACAGUCUUCCAAAAUAUGAUUCCAGUGCUGGACUGGGAUUUGAUGCCCGGACAAGGGAGUACAAGGUCGUCAGGUUGAUCAAUGGGUUAUCUGAUGAUAAGGAGACGAUCAGGUGUGAUGUGUACACACCUGGAGCUGAUCGCUGGAGGCCUGCGGCUGGAGGAGUACCCUUCAAGUGGUCCCAGUUUGCAAAUUCUGCAGUUGCUCAUGCAAUGGUGAACAAAAUACCACCUGUGUUUGCCAAUGGAUUUCUGCACUGGUUGAUCAAUCCUUCUUUUAUCAUCAGAAGGCCAAGAGCUGCUAUCAUAUCCUUUUCUGUUGCAGAGGAAACCUUCGGAUGUGUCCGUUCACCGCCGUUCUGGGGACCAACAGAGCACCUGCGCUCCUGGGCCCAGUCAGAACGAGAGCACCUGGUUGUGAUGGAUGACCACCUGUGCAUUGUCCGGGACCUUCGCAACAGAACCCCUGAUGGUAGCACCUUGGAGAUUUGGGGACUGCUGGAUUAUGGCUCUGGUGAUUGGUCCCUCAAACAUCGAAUUGAUUUUCUUGGGCAAGCCAGAAGUGAAUUAGCUGAGCCAAAGGUUGUGAGGGUUAUUGGUUCUGUCGGCAAUGGCACUUUGGGGAAGAAGAUUGUCAUUGCUACCAGCGAGCGUUGGGCUCAUGAAAAGUUUCAGAAGAAGGUUUACACCUAUGAUCCUAGGUGUCAAGUUCUGGAGGCCAUUCUUUCUGUCAUCGAGACACACACCCGUCUUACACGUUUGAUCCCUGGUUCAAGAUUUAGCCUGUUUGAAGAGAGCCUUGCUCCAGUGCAUAAAACGGAUGAUGAGCUAGCCAUGCCAUAUACCCUGGCUAAGUUAACUAAAGAACUACUACCACUACAAGCUAAAUCAGCCAUGUAG
rnacentral:rRNA from 1 species